rnacentral:rRNA from 1 species
AGCGUAGGCGGAUUUUUAAGUGAGAUGUGAAAUACUCGGGCUUAACCUGAGUGCUGCAUUUCAAACUGGAAGUCUAGAGUGCAGGAGAGGAGAAGGGAAUUCCUAGUGUAGCGGUGAAAUGCGUAGAGAUUAGGAAGAACACCAGUGGCGAAGGCGCUUCUCUGGACUGUAACUGACGCUGAGGCUCGAAAGCGUGGGAGCAAACA